rnacentral:sRNA from 1 species
AAUAUUUAGUAUCAUUUAAUUACUACAAAAUUAUCAUUUUUGAUAUUGGUUCUCUCCAUAAUUAUAACAAUUCGAUUAUAAUCAUCAAAGCGCAGAGAUAUAAUCUGAUAGCAUUUAAUUACUACCAAAUUACAAAAUAUUUAGACAAUGAUUCAUAAACAUAUCAUAAAUAAGAUCAACAUUAAUAAAAUAAAUGGUUUUUUUUUUACAGGACGGGUUUGGCAGGACGUUACUUAAUAACAUUUGUAAACUAUAAAAUAAAAUUAUUUUAUAGAUAGAUACAAUUUGUAAACUUUUAUAUAUACUAAAUUUAAAAAAUAAAUUGUUCCCUCGGUAUACCGCGGGUUAAAAUUUAGUAUGUGUAACAUGUUUGGAUCUCAAAAUUAAAGAGAAUAUAUUGAAUUAAAAAAUGUAGAAAGAGUGAUGGUUCAAGUUCUGAUUAAUUAUAUCCUCCUAUUUUAGUUAUUAUGUUGAAUUAAUUACUAAUUAUGUAUUAUUUAUUUUAUGAAGUCUAGGUGGCAAGCUCUCAUGUGCUGAUGUGUCAAGUUGUGGGAGAGAGUUGACCAACUUUCAUAUAUAUGAUUUAUUUCCAUAUCCCGUAUGGAGUUACGAAUCAACUAAAAUGCAUGAAUCAGUAAAGACUUCUUAGUUUCAUAGAAUUAAUUCGUUUAUACCCGCAAUUUCCAUAUACACGACAACAACACUAAUCACAUAACAGAAUGUUAACCUUUUUCCAUUUGGUGAUCCAUGAAUGAUACAAUUUAACAAAACUCCGAGAGCCAAAAUCUUAUUGCUUCGAGCUCAAAACCAGUGGUGCACAACAAAU